rnacentral:ncRNA from 1 species
UAAGUAGAGGUUGCGCUUUUUAUCAGUAGCCCGCCUGACGCGCCGGUGUGCGGAAGAGGACGGAAGAAAGGAAAAGGCGCCGAAGCGGCAGCAUAGAACCGGUGUGCUGCGGCUGGGUGCAUGGCCAACAGCCAUGCAACUGUCAUCAGAACCUGAUGGAGAGCUACUUGU